rnacentral:rRNA from 1 species
GGGGAAUAUUGGACAAUGGGCGAAAGCCUGAUCCAGCCAUGCCGCGUGAGUGAUGAAGGUCUUCGGAUCGUAAAGCUCUGUGGGAAGGGACGAAAAAGCCUAACCUAAUACGUUAGGUCUUGACGGUACCUUCUUAGCAAGCACCGGCUAACUCCGUGCCAGCAGCCGCGGUAAUACGGAGGGUGCAAACGUUGCUCGGAAUUAUUGGGCGUAAAGCGCACGUAGGCGGUCCGCUAAGUCGGAUGUGAAAGCCCUCGGCUUAACCGAGGAAGUGCAUCCGAAACUGACGGGCUAGAGUACGGAAGAGGGUUUCGGAAUUCCCGGUGUAGAGGUGAAAUUCGUAGAUAUCGGGAGGAACACCAGUGGCGAAGGCGGAAACCUGGGCCGAUACUGACGCUGAGGUGCGAAAGCGUGGGGAGCAAAC